UGGCUUAGUUCCUACAAUGGCGAAUUUCUAGAGUCCUGUGUUUGUCUUUUCCCACCUGUGGAUUUUUAUCUUCAGCUCUCUUGUUGGCAUCUGAAAUCUUGGUGAGUUGGGAGGAUUCUGCUUGGGCGGGGAACAGGAGAACGCAGUUCCUUUCGGAUUGUCAAGCUGCACCGAACAGCGCCAGCUAAUUCGUCCCUCAUGUGAAGACCUCUGCCAAGCUCCCUCUUGUAUCCUCUUGUUCCCUCACACCUGACAAAGCCAUGCUUGAAAUACUGUAGCCCACCUCAAUGACGGCAAGGCCUCUGUCGCUAGCUAGCUAGCUCACAGCUCUCUCCCCCAGGCGGCUCACAUUCCGCAUUUUGUUUCUAGCAUGAAAGACUUUGUUUUAAAUCAUAAUAGCAACCAGGCUGUAGUCACAUUAGAGCGCACAUGGAGAACUCGCACGAAGUCAUGUGUUUUGGAUUUGACAUUCUGAUUUAUGGUUGUGUGCUCCAGUUACACAGCUGCGAGCUCAUUUUCCGACAAAGAUGUUUUCUAUUUUUCUAUUACUCUGCUUCACCCCGUCUUUAUGUUGGGGAAAAUGAAAGCCACCAGGUGAAGUCAUAACAGAAGUACAAAUGUUUUCAUGUUUGGGUUGGAGAGCGUAAUAAAUAGUGGAUACCAGCCUUCCAAACAGAGCUUGUUAUUUUUGAAUAAAAGUAUAAAGGGAGUUGCUUACUUAAUGUAAUCACAAGUUAAAGAGAUCCAUGGGAAUUUGUUUGUCCAACCCAGAAUCACCCUACAAACUUUCUGUACCCAUCACCUGAUACCAAUUUCCCAGAGAGAAAAUGAAUGGUAAUACUCCAUUUUAGAUAUGUAAGUGAAUCCAGCUUCCUCUUUAGAAUGCUUCUUUUCCAAGCCCAGGAGGUUCAAUGUUGGGAACCUGUCAAGGCAGCCUUUGCCAACCUGUUCCUUAGGGAAAGGAAGAAGAAGUAAAGACAUGCGGUCACAGUGACAAGGGGCAGACCUCAGACAGUACCUCAGAUUUCUUCCCUGCCCCCCAGUGCCUCCUUGCCAUCCAAAGGCAAGCUGAGUGACACUUCCCAUGAUCAAAUGGGUACCUCUACAAAGGACAUUCUAAACGAGAUUUCUACUAAUGGGAAGGAAGAAGAUCCAUUCUAUUGUUUGGGCUCUGGCUGAACUUGGGGCUCACUGAUGGGAUCGGCUGGCUGGCCAGUGAGCAUCGCUGUUGAACAUGCUCUGGUGAGAGCAGAAGGAAUUAGAGGAAGAAUAAAGAGAGUGAGGCUCGUGCAAAGCCUUAUGAAAUUCGCAUGAAAAGAAACAAGUUGGCCAAGAGGAAGACUGGAACACCUCCCCAACUGACCAAAGGACACUUGCACUAGAGUGACCAGAGGUGACCACAGAACUGUAUAUGACAGGGGACAAGGACAAGCUAGUGCUAUGCAGAUGAGCAGAUGUUGUGGGUUUUGGAAGAGAGGGAUCUCUUUGAGUUAGAACACUGGGAAGAAUUUGCAUGGACUGCUAAUUUCGGGUAUCAUAAAUGCUGAAGACCAUAUGUAUAUGUAUGUGUAUGUGUAUGUGUAUAUGUAUAUGUAUAUAUAUGUUUGCAUUUAAUCACACCUGUCUGGAGCCCAGUCUGUAUAUUCUACUGACCUAUCUGGCAACACUACAUCCAUGACUCUUCUGUUUUAUAAUCAGAAUUUUGUUUUAAUCAUAAAAGACGUUCAUCAUGAAAUAUUUAAAAAGGACACAAAGGAGAAAAUGCCCUGCUCAACCCCUUUUGACAUUUUGCUGCAGUCCAUUCCUUUUUGUUUUUUAUUUGUGUGUUUGUGUGCAUGUGUGUGUGCACCCUAAUGGGGGGCCCAUGUGGAGACCAGAAGCACGGAGUGUCUCCCUCUAGCACUCCCCACCCUAGUUUUUGGGAGGACAAGGUCUCCCAGUGAACCUGGAGCUCUUUGGCUAGUUAGACUGGCUGGUCACUAAAGUCAGGGACUCUCUUGGGCUGGGGAACUCACCACAUCUGCCUUUUCACCUGGGUGCUGGGGAUGCAAACUCAGGUAUGCAUGCUUAUGUAACAAGCACUUUGCCAACUAAGCCAUUUAUUUCCCCAGUCCACUUGAAGACUUAAAAAAGAAAUUGUUUAUGGGUAUUUUGCUUGGAUGCAUGUCUAUGUAACGCAUGUGUGCCUGAUGCCAGCAGAGGCUAGAGGAGAGAGAGCAUCAGGUCCCCUGGGACUGGAGUUACAGGCAGUUGUGAGCAGCCAUGUGGAUUCUGGGAACUGAUCCUCUGGAGGAGCAGCCAGUGCCCUCAAUGGCUGAGCUAUUUCUCUCCAGCCCUGCCUUCAAGAUGUUUAAUGCUUCUGCUUAAAAUGACUUCAGGCAGAUAAUUUAUUUAUUUUUCAGCAACGUUUUAGUGUUUACAUCUUGCCGCAUAGCCGCCAUAAUUAUUAUAGUUGUCCUUGUGUCUAUAGGAGAUCGCUUCCAAGAGACUACCUGGGACUCCAACUGCCCAAGAAUCUUAUAUAAUAGGGCACGUUGAUGCUUAUAACACGUACAUGCUUCUAUUUACAUAAGAUCAGCUCUAGGGUAGGUAUAGUUGUGUAAAUGCCCCAUAAAUAGUUGUUAUACUGAAUCAUCUUGGGAGUAACAAUAAGAAAAAACUAAAAUGGAAUCUAUAUAAACUAUAUAGACAAUUAGAUGGAAUCCCCUUUUGCCCGCAAAACAUUUUUGGUCUGCAAUUGGCUGAAUCUACAGACAUAGAAGCCUGGUUCAGGAGGCUAAUGCACCAUGAUUUGAAAAUCUGUUCUAAUUUAUUACUAGAGCUACAGCCUUUUACUUUAAUUUGCAAUUGUUUGCUAGUAGGAACGUCAGCUUUGUUGAAGUGUGACUGACAAGUUAAAAUCGCAUAUGUUUGAGAGAUAUGAUGAACUUUCUAAUAUUUGUAUGCCUUAUAAAAUAAUCUCCAGUAGCUAAUUAGCAUCCACCACCUCCACUGAACAAAUUGUUUAUUGCCUCUGUGUGGUUGUGAUGGGGGUGGUGACUGUUGGUCCUAUGAACGUGUAUGGCAUCUUUACAUACUCCUGCUACCCACUCUUCAUGCUAUCUGUACCAGAUUGUUUCUUUUUUAUGCUUAUAUGUUUUCCAUCCUUAAUAUAGUCAGUUUUUAAAGGUUUGUUUGUUUGUUUGUUUUUUGCUUGUGAUUUCUUUCCAUAGCUUUUAAGUUUCAAAAAUUCUAAAAUUUAGUUUGCCUUCUCUUUUUCCAAAACUGCAUGAGAGAGUCAACCUUAACCAAGAAGAGGUACUGGCUUUUCUGCAUCAUCAUGGCUAUAUUUCUCCUUUUCCUCCUUCUUCAACCAGAGUCCCUGUCAAUCAACGGGAGUAGAGGGAACUCAGGAAGCUUCCUCCUGUCAGUUCUAAGGCUUCUAUUCUUGGUUCUAGACAGGUCCCUGAGAGUCUGUGACAAAGGCCACAGCUGUGUUGGGGACAGGGAAGAAACAAUCCCUUUUUUCACCUUUCUGGAAAU